AAAAAAAAGGGUCCCCUAGAAGCUCAUUGAAAAGAAGACAGGGUUAGAUUAAAUAAAAAAAAAAAAAAAAGGGCAUGUAGGACGUGGAAUAAGCACAGUGGGGGUAGAUGAGUGAGAAACAGGAAAUUAGAAAAAUAUUAUGUAGAAAUGCACAAGGAUGUUGUAUGUAGAAAUGUACGAGGAUGUUGUAACAAAGGUCCGUGUUAUGUAUGACAGAUGGGAGUUGGUUAUUAAAGCCUCUAUUUAUUAUAAGGCAGUACAGAAAUGAAUUAUUGGCCGCGGAAAGUUAAAACUAGAAAGGAAAAAAUAACCCAUUAUAUCCUAUACUUGCUCUCCCACCUUUCCUACACCAUCCACAUCCACAGCCCCCACCUUCUCCUCCGCACCUCCAGCACCCACCGCACCAGAAUUAAAAGAUGAUCCCUCGGGGUCUGGUUUCUUUGAAGAAUAUCAUUAUGAUCCCUCAUUACACACUGAUCCGGGGGAUGACAAAAGUAACGUAAUGGGUGCGGUGGGUGGGUUUCACGAUCCUAGAACCUCCAUUUCACAACGCACUAGAAGUCAAACCCUAUUCCAUCAGCCCCCUAAUCAAAACACCACCUUUCAAUCCCCCUUAAAGUCCCCCAAACCCCCAGGCCCCUUAUUCGAAUGCCCCCUGAUUGAGAUCUCAAAACCCCCCGAUAUGAUUCAACGCAACCUGCAGGAGCCAAUAACCCCACUACUGUAAUGAUACAUCGUAACUGGGACAUUCAAGAGCUGAAGGACGUUGUGUCUGAAUUGCCUGAUCCCAAAGUCAUCGGUGGGUUAAAAAAUUCAUAGAACAAUUGCAGCAGCUGUAUGAUAUGUAUAAGCCCAAUGUCGCAGAACGGACUCAGGUGCUGCGGAGAAAGCUUCUCACCACAUGGGCAACUGUAAAUCAUGGACAGCAUAACGGAAAUCCGUGGCAGUGGAACGAGGCGUUGCCUCGGGGCCGGGAUGAAGGUCCCUUUAUUACGCAAUGGGAACAUGUUAAAAAUAAUAUUAAGGACAAGUAUAAGAAAGGCACAGACUGGUCUCUUAUCUCGGCUGCCAAACAGAAAAA